rfam:Gossypium raimondii Chr11_contig_201, whole genome shotgun sequence.
CGUUAAAAUUUCAUCUAUUUAUACUAUUAAAAAUUGACGUGCUUAACAGAAUAACUAACAAGUGAUGUACCACAUGUACCUCAUGUUGAUGUACAUGGAUCAAUUUUUAACAAAAAAAUGGAGGAAAUUUUAACA